GAGUAGUAAGAGUUAUGAUCUUGAAACUCAAAAAAUUUGGCGGUAUUUUAUCUUACUAGAGGAACCUGUUUAUUAAUUGAUAUUCCACAACUUAAAUGUAUUUUCACUAGUUUAUUUGUAUACCGUUGUCAUGAAUGUACUAAAAAGUGAAUUUUCAAGAUUUCCUAUAUAGUUUAUGUUAGAUCAAGGUGCAGUUUGUGAAAAAAUAAAAUGGGUUACAGUAUUUAGUAUGAAUGAAAAAUAUUUUAAAAGAAUGUUAGAAAAAGGAUUUAGAAGUAACCAGGAAAUAGUAAAGAUUUUUUAUGAAUUUAGAUWCUAAAUU
rnacentral:rRNA from 1 species